rnacentral:misc_RNA from 1 species
UCCGGUUUGUCACCGGCAGUCAACCUAGAGUGCCCACCUUUACGUGCUGGCAACUAAGUUCAAGGGUUGCGCUCGUUGCGGGACUUAACCCAACAUCUCACGACACGAGCUGACGACAACCAUGCACCACCUGUCUCCAAUGUCCCGAAGGCCGCACCUAUCUCUAGGUGAUUCAUUGGGAUGUCAAGACCUGGUAAGGUUCUUCGCGUUGCUUCGAAUUAAACCACAUACUCCACUGCUUGUGCGGGUCCCCGUCAAUUCCUUUGAGUUUCAGUCUUGCGACCGUACUCCCCAGGCGGAGUGCUUAAUGUGUUAACUUCGGCACCGAGGGCAUGAUACCCCCAACACCUAGCACUCAUCGUUUACAGCGUGGACUAC